AGCGAACGCUGGCGGCAGGCCUAACACAUGCAAGUCGAACGAUCCUUCGGGAUAGUGGCGGACGGGUGAGUAACACGUGGGAACGUGCCUUUUGGUUCGGAAUAACUCAGGGAAACUUGAGCUAAUACCGGAUGUGCCCUUCGGGGGAAAGAUUUAUCGCCAUUAGAGCGGCCCGCGUCUGAUUAGCUAGUUGGUAGGGUAAAGGCCUACCAAGGCUACGAUCAGUAGCUGGUCUGAGAGGAUGAUCAGCCACACUGGGACUGAGACACGGCCCAGACUCCUACGGGAGGCAGCAGUGGGGAAUCUUGCGCAAUGGGCGAAAGCCUGACGCAGCCAUGCCGCGUGAAUGAUGAAGGUCUUAGGAUUGUAAAAUUCUUUCACCGGGGACGAUAAUGACGGUACCCGGAGAAGAAGCCCCGGCUAACUUCGUGCCAGCAGCCGCCGUAA
rnacentral:rRNA from 1 species